UUUCAAUCAAAUUCACAAAUAAGAAUUGAAACAUGAGUAAAAUACUUGAAAUUUGUGUGAAAUUUCUAUGAAAUUGAAAUAACUUGUUAGCUCUCAACAAUUUCAAAGUAUUUCAGUAAAAUCCGUAAAUAAGCACCUGAAAUGAGUGAAACAAUAGAAACAUGUAUCAAAUUAUUUUACUCACAUUUCAACAUAAUUCACAAAUAAGCACUGAAAUGUGAGUUAAAUAGUUGGCAUUCAUGUGAAAUGACUAUAAGAUUGAAAUAAUUUGCCAGCUUUCAACAACGUCAGCUUAUUCGGUCAAUUUGAUAAAUGAGCACUAGAAAUGUGUGAAAUGACUGAAAUGUAAAUGCGUUUGUGAAAUUUGUAUAAAGUGUUGCAAAAAUCGUGUGAACUAAGAUAAUUUUAUACUUGUGAAACAUGCAUGUGGAAAGUUUUCUAUGAUUGGUUGAAAUAUUACUAAAAUGGUUAAGAUAUGUGUUAAUAUUUAUCAAUAUUAUUUGAAAACUUGAAAUUGAGGAAAUAAUAUUUGAAAGUACAUAAAUGGACUUAAUAUUCAAAAGUGUUAAAUAUGUGUCAAAUAAUUGCUUGAAAUGUGUCUGAAAUGUUAAAUAUUCAAAAGUAUUUUUUUGUAAUUGAUUGAAAGAUAACUAAAAUGAUUAAAGAUAUGUGUGAAUAUUUAUGAAUAAUAUUUGAAAAACUGAAAUUGAGUGAAAUAACAUAAUUUUUUUAAACACAGGCAAAAGAUUUGUCUCAUCCAUGGAUUAAAGCAGAAGAGAGUUGCCCGGUUAAUUUACGAAAAACUGGGCUAAAACCGUCACAAACUGCCGAGCGGCACACACAUGAUACCUCACACACACCUCAACACAGAGGAUCUCGUUAAGAUAACACUAUGGUAUCAUCGUCAUCAUUUCUUCCCAAUUGACGUCGUCGCCCUCCUUAAUCUUCAAGCAAGAGACUCCAAGCCGAAGACGAACGUCGACCCAAUCUUCACCGUACAGGAUGGGAACACAACAAGACCCGCGCCAGCUUCAGCCACCGGCACGGAGGGCAAAAUAGCUCCAACUCUGAUGGAGAAUUCCGAAGGAGAAAUAUGCAAGGUUGACACCACGGAGAACCACCUGCCGCCUAUCAUCACCACCACAGGGGCCCCGUGCCCGUAGCUCCGACUUCAUCACAGCAAA
rnacentral:lncRNA from 1 species